rnacentral:rRNA from 1 species
UUUAUGGAGAGUUUGAUCCUGGCUCAGGAUGAACGCUGGCGGCGUGCCUAAUACAUGCAAGUCGAGCGAACGGACGAGAAGCUUGCUUCUCUGAUGUUAGCGGCGGACGGGUGAGUAACACGUGGAUAACCUACCUAUAAGACUGGGAUAACUUCGGGAAACCGGAGCUAAUACCGGAUAAUAUUUUGAACCGCAUGGUUCAAAAGUGAAAGACGGUCUUGCUGUCACUUAUAGAUGGAUCCGCGCUGCAUUAGCUAGUUGGUAAGGUAACGGCUUACCAAGGCAACGAUGCAUAGCCGACCUGAGAGGGUGAUCGGCCACACUGGAACUGAGACACGGU